UAUUAUUGUGACCCGCCCUGGGACCUACUGGUGAAGUAGUAAUAGUAGUAAUAGUUAAGGGCAUGCUUGUUUCAUUUAUUUAGAUAUACUUAAGGCAAGAAAAGUAGGAUAUACAUUAUUAAAAUAAACUAAAAACUACUUAUCAGAAUAAGCUGUAUAGGUAGCCAUGGUAGCUGCUCUAAAGACCGCUGUGCUCCCUGUCCACCCUGGCAUGACAAGCAUUCAAGGAGAAACCUAAAGGAUCUCUGUAUAUUUGUUCCAGCAAGUGAAAAAAGCAGCUUGAUGAAGAUGGUUAUGAGCUGAAGAACACCAGAGGUGAAGGGGCUAAGUAGGUUUUUUUAAAAAAUCCUGAUUUGCAUGUGAUUUUGGCUCGGAUAAGGACCAGACCACAUGCAGCAUUGGAAGACACCCCUGCCCCCUUCUCUAGGACUGGUAGUGAAUACCUCUGUUCUUCACAAUUAAAAUUGCAUGUU